rnacentral:rRNA from 1 species
GGACCGGGAGAGGCGAGAGGACGUUCUGGGUAGGGGUAAAAGUACCUGUAAUCCUAGAAGGACCACCGGUGGCGAAGGCGUCUCGCUAGAACGGAUCCGACGGUGAGGGACGAAGCCCUGGGUCGCAACGGGAUUAGAUACCCCGGUAGUCCAGGUGUAAACGCUGCAGACUUGGUGUUGGGGGCCCUACGGGGCGUUCAGUGCCGGAGAGAAGUUGUUAAGUCUGCUACUUGGGGAGUACGUCCGCAAGGAUGAAACUUAAAGGAAUUGGCGGGGGAGCACCGACCAACGGGAGGAGCGUGCGGUUUAAUUGGAUUCAACACCGGAAACUCACCAGCGGCGACUGUUACAUGAAAGUCAGGCCGAUGACCUUACUAGAUUUUCAGAGAAGAGGUGCAUGG